rnacentral:lncRNA from 10 species
GUUUCAGAAAUCUGGAUGCUAAGAAGGUUAUGAGAAAACUAUGCGUAUAGGAAAAUGGCAACAACCAAAAGACUUAAGGAAUGUAAGGAGGAAACAAUAAGCAUAUUGUGGAUUGUAAUAAAGAACAUUCAGCAGAUCGUCAUUUUGUCAUCACUGUGAAUACAGCUUCUGAAAGGAAAGGGACAGAGAAAGAGAAGAAAGAGACUAAAACAAGGAAAAGAGUUUCAUUAAAAAAAGAAGAUGAAAUUUAUGCCAAGUUCAAAAACUCAACUGACCAUCAAAAUGAUUCCCCAAUCCAGAGUGCUUGGGAAUAAGAGUUUCUGGAUGGCCAAGUUUACCCAGAUACCUAAAGGUUAGUUAACCUUUUAAAUUUUGUAAUUUAUUUUUAAUGGGAAGCUUUCUAAAGUGUACAUUUCCUUGUCUUAUGAGACAGAGUAGAUUAAAUGGACCAUUUGAUCAUAAUUAGCCCUUGGGAAUAUAAGUAUCUAGUGCUCAGUUCAUAGUUACAGACUCAGAUGUAGAUACAGAUUGAAUAGCUUGUGUGCUGAAGGCUCACAGACACAAU